CUAUUAUUUGCGGGCACGCGCCUCCGUCCUCGUGAGUUCAAAAACUGAAUUUAACCGAUGUUUACCUCAGACGACAGUUUUCGUUUCUGUGAUAAAUUCUGAGCUAAUUUUCUUGUUGUGUUUGAUCUUUUCCAUUGGCUGAAGAAUGCUGUGACAAAAAAGCAACCAGGACACCACAUCUGCAGUGACAGAGAGCAGGAUGGGGGAGGAAUCAGAAGGACCAGAAGAUAAUAUCAACUGGUGCCCCUGAGGAGAUUCACAUUGUUCUGUUUCUUUUGUUUAGUAAUAAGCGGUUUUAUGUGAUUUUGUAAAAUAAAAGAAAUUCAGUAUUCAAUCCACAUGUUUUGCACAUAAUUUUCUAUAUUUUACUUCCGUGUAUUUACAGCCAGGGUGCCUACUGUAUUUAUUGCCCAAUGUGCCCACACGUUGCCCACAGUUAGCCCAAACUUUGCCCAGUGUGCCCACAUUAAAUCCACACUUUGUCCACAGUAAGCCCACACUUUGCCCACAGCCCACACUUUGCUCAAUGUGCCCACAGUUAGCCCACACUUUGCCCAAUGUGCCCACAGUUAGGCCCACAAUUUGCCCACAGUUAUCCCACACCUUGCCCAAUAUGCCCACAGUUAGCCCACACUUUGCCCAAUGUGCCCACAGUAAGCCCACACUUUGCCCAAUGUGCCCACAGAAAGCCCACACUUUGCUCAAUGUGCCCACAGUAAACCCACAGUUAGCCCACACUUUACCCAAUGUGCCCACAGUAAACCCACACUUUGCCCACAGUUAGCCCACACUUUACCCAAUGUGCCCACAGUAAACCCACACUUUGCCCACAGUUAGCCCACACUUUACCCAAUGUGCCCACAGUAAACCCACACUUUGCCCACAGUUAGCCCACACUUUCCCCAAUGUGCCCACAGUAAGCCCACACUUUACCCAAUGUGCCCACAGUAAGCCCACACUUUGCCCACAGUUAGCCCACGCUUUGCCCAAUGUGCCCACAGUAA